GAUGAACGCUGGCGGCGUGCCUAAUACAUGCAAGUCGAGCGAACGGACGAGAAGCUUGCUUCUCUGAUGUUAGCGGCGGACGGGUGAGUAACACGUGGAUAACCUACCUAUAAGACUGGGAUAACUUCGGGAAACCGGAGCUAAUACCGGAUAAUAUUUUGAACCGCAUGGUUCAAAAGUGAAAGACGGUCUUGCUGUCACUUAUAGAUGGAUCCGCGCUGCAUUAGCUAGUUGGUAAGGUAACGGCUUACCAAGGCAACGAUGCAUAGCCGACCUGAGAGGGUGAUCGGCCACACUGGAACUGAGACACGGUCCAGACUCCUACGGGAGGCAGCAGUAGGGAAUCUUCCGCAGUGGGCGAAAGCCUGACGGAGCAACGCCGCGUGAGUUAUGAAGGUCUUCGGAUCGUAAAACUCUGUUAUUAGGGAAGAACAUAUGUGUAAGUAACUGUGCACAUCUUGACGGUACCUAAUCAGAAAGCCACGGCUAACUACGUG
rnacentral:rRNA from 1 species